rnacentral:rRNA from 1 species
AUUGAACGCUGGCGGCAGGCCUAACACAUGCAAGUCGAACGAGUGGCGGACGGGUGAGUAAUGACUGGGAAACUGCCUGAUGGAGGGGGAUAAAUACUGGAAACGGUAGCUAAUAACGCAUACCAUCGGAUGUGCCCAGAUGGGAUUAGGUAGUAGGUGGGGUAAAGGCUCACCUAGGCGACGAUCCCUAGCUGGUCUGAGAGGAUGACCAGCCCCCCUGUAACUGAGUCUCGGUCCAGACUCCUCCGGUAGGCAGCAGUUGUGUAUAUUGCACAUUGGGCGCAAGCCUUCUGCAGCCAUGCCGCGUGUAUGAAGAAGGCCUUCGGGUUGUAAAGUACUUUCAGCUGGGAGGCGUUACCCGAAGAAGAAGCUCCGGCUAACUCCGUGCCAGCAGCCGCGGUAAUAC